rnacentral:rRNA from 1 species
ACGCUCGACACCUACGAGGCAGCAGUUGGGAAUAUUGGACAAUGGAGGAAACUCUGAUCCAGUGACGCCGCGUGAAGGAAGAAGGUCUUCGGAUUGUAAACUUAUUUUGUCAGGGAAGAAAAAUGACUGUACCUGAAGAAAAAGCACCGGCUAACUACGUGUCAGCAGCCGCGGUAAUCUGAGCGGGCUGGCAAGGC